GCAGUAGCCCCUGAAAACCAUCCCAGUGUCAUCCGUACAGAAGAAAUCAAGGAAUCUCACCAUCCAGGGUCUUCCCUGUUCGCCUGCUGUAUCAUCAGUUGAAACUCAGAACUAACACCUCCAGGAUAAGUAUUGGUUGCUAGGAACUGAAUGCACCUGGGACCGGGCUGACCACCGGGGCUACAGCCUCCUACCUCUAGGAACCUGCCUAGAGGGACCCACCAGUCAAGCACCUUCCAGAGCAGAACACGACGGACAGCAAGACAGGAUGAGACAGAAGAGACCCCGGCUUCCCCUACCCUGGCAGCGCCGGGACAAGCUCACCUUUGUAGUAGAAGAGGCAGCGGUCCACCAGGACAAACCAACGCUUAUUCCACUGCUUCACCCCGGAGCUGGCCUGCAGGACACACAGACAGACAGAUGGGAAAGUCAUGGGGGGGGGGUUGUGUGGGAGGGGAGGCGGCCG
rnacentral:lncRNA from 1 species